AGUCGAUUUACGAUAAUAAUGAUCAAUCCCUGGCGGAUUCGUGGUCACGGUAAAAUGAUCGUGAAACGACGGUGAAUGUACCAUAAAUUCACAGUGUCGACAAAUGAUCGUCGAAUGACCAUCACUUGACUAUCGAACGGCCGUCAUUUGACAGUGAACGACGAGUAUCAUUGUGAAAGUUUUUCACUGUUACUU